AUGAUUGACCCACAUGAACCCAUUUCUGAUGCAGUUCUGGAUGCAUUAGUGGAUGACUACCAAGGGGAAUGUGCCACCAUCUCUGCAACAACCCUGUCGGGGGCCUCUCAUCCCAAAACUAUUCAACUCAGAGCUCUGAUAGGAAAUCAGGUGGUGCUGAUCUUACUAGAUUCUGGCAGCACUCACACUUUUGUUGAUCAGGCUCUGCUUGACAGGAUUUCUGUACCUGCUCAAAAACUACAAACACCUAUGCAAGUGAAAGUAGCAAAUGGGAAUGUGGUGGAGUGCAACAAAUUUGUGCCUAAUCUCACCUGGUGGAUACAAGGGCAUAGUUUCUCUAGUGCUAUGCAGGCCUUUCCUUUUAGGAGGGUAUGA
rnacentral:rRNA from 1 species